AGUUGUACGUUUGUAUUUUUUAAUACAGAAGUAGCGAACGGGUGAGUAUAACAUUGUAACAUACCUUAUAAUUUGGGAUACAUUGACGAAAGUUAAUAUAAUACCUUAUAAUAAUAAUCCAAGGAUUAAAGCGGGGAAAACCUCGCGUUUUAAGAUUGAUCAAUGUCUGAUUAGUGAGUUGGUCUUUAAGUUAAAAGCUUACCAAAACUUUUAUCAGUAGCCAUUCUUUACGGAUGUAUGGCCACACUGGGAUUGAGAUACGGCCCAGACCCCUACGGGGGGCAGCAGUGGGGAAUAUUGGACAAUGAGCGCAAGCUUGAUCCAGCAAUGUCACGUGUGUGAUGAAGGGAAACUGUAAAACACUUUUUUUUAAGAAUAAGAAACACUAUUUAAUAAAUAGUAGUUUUUGAAUGUAUUAAAAGAAUAAGUACCGGCUAAUCACGUGCCAGCAGCCGCGGUAAUACGUGGGGUGCAAGCGUUAAUCAGAAUUACUUGGCGUAAAGUGUGCUAAGGUGGUUUAAAAAGUUUUAUAUUAAUUUUAAUUUAUUUUAAUAAUAUAUAAAAUACUUUUAAACUUGAGUAUAAUGUAAGAAAAUAGAAUUUUGUGUGUAACAGUGAAAUGUGUUGAUAUACAAAGGAAUACCGAAGGCGAAAGCAUUUUUCUAAAAUAUUACUGACACUUAUGCACGAAAGCGUGGGGAGCAAACAGGAUUAGAUACCCUGGUAGUCCACGCCCUAAACUAUGUCAAUUAACUAUCAGAAUAUUUUGGUGGUGCAGCUAACGCGUUAAAUUGACCGCCUGGGGACUACGAUCGCAAGAUUAAAACUCAAAGGAAUUGACGGGGACCAGCACAAGCGGUGGAUGAUGUGGAUUAAUUCGAUGAUACACGAAAAACCUUACCUAUUCUUGACAUAGCUUGAAUUUCACUGAAAAGUGACAAAUGCUUGAAAAAGAACCUGCUACAGGUGCUGCAUGGCUGUCGUCAGCUCGUGUCGUGAGAUGUUGGGUUAAGUCCCGCAACGAGCGUAACCCUUACUCUUAGUUGCUAAUUAUAGAACUUUAAGAGAACUGCCAACAAUAAGUUUGGAGGAAGGAGGGGAUGACUUCAAGUCCUCAUGGCCCUUAUGAUUAGGGCUUCACACGUCAUACAAUGGUUGAUACAAAAAGUUGCAAAAUUGUAAAAUUUAGCUAAUCUUUAAAAUCAAUCUUAGUUCGGAUUGUACUCUGCAACUCGAGUACAUAAAGCUGGAAUCGCUAGUAAUCGUGGAUCAGCAUGCCACGGUGAAUAAGUAAACUGGUCUUGUACACACCGCCCGUCACACCAUGGGAAUAAGUUUUAUUUUAAAUAAGAUUUUAAUAGUCUUAUAAAAAUAUAAUUUGUGACUGGGGUGAAGUCG
rnacentral:rRNA from 1 species